UACGGAGGAUGCAAGCGUUAUCCGGAAUGAUUGGGCGUAAAGCGUCCGCAGGUGGCAAUGUAAGUCUGCUGUCAAAGCGUCUGGCUCAACCAGAUAAAGGCAGUGGAAACUACAUAGCUAGAGUAAGGUAGGGGUAGAGGGAAUUCCUGGUGUAGCGGUGAAAUGCGUAGAGAUCAGGAGGAAUACCUGUGGUGUAGACGGCUCUCUGGACCGCGACUGACGCUGAGACACGAAAGCGUGGGUAGCAAACAGG
rnacentral:rRNA from 1 species